rnacentral:rRNA from 1 species
UACAGAGGUCUCGAGCGUUGUUCGGAUUCAUUGGGCGUAAAGGGUGCGUAGGUGGCAGGGUAAGUCGGAUGUGAAAUCCCGGGGCUCAACCCCGGAACUGCACUCGAUACUGCUUGGCUGGAGUACUGGAGAGGAGAUUGGAAUUUACGGUGUAGCAGUGAAAUGCGUAGAUAUCGUAAGGAAGACCAGUGGCGAAGGCGGAUCUCUGGACAGUUACUGACACUGAGGCACGAAGGCCAGGGGAGCAAACGGG